rnacentral:rRNA from 1 species
UGGCAUGCACAGGCGAUGAAGGACGUGAUACGCUGCGAUAAGCCGUGGGGAGCUGCGAAUAAGCUUUGAUCCAUGGAUCUCCGAAUGGGGGAACCCACCUUAAAUGCUUGGAAAAUUUAAGUCGUGCUUUGGUACGGCUUAGGUUUCCAAGCAUUGUUUAAAGGUAUCUUAUCCUGAAUACAUAGGGGUAAGAAGCGAACGCAGGGAACUGAAACAUCUAAGUACCUGCAGGAAAGGACAUCAACCGAGACUCCGCAA